AGAGUUUGAUCCUGGCUCAGGACGAACGCUGGCGGCGUGCCUAACACAUGCAAGUCGAGCGAAAAACUUCGGUUUUUAGCGGCGGACGGGUGAGUAACACGUGGGUAACCUGCCUCAAAGAGGGGGAUAGCCUCCCGAAAGGGAGAUUAAUACCGCAUAAUAUCAGGAUCUCGCAUGGGAACUUGAUUAAAGGAGCAAUCCGCUUUGAGAUGGACCCGCGGCGCAUUAGCUAGUUGGUGAGGUAACGGCUCACCAAGGCGACGGUGCGUAGCCGACCUGAGAGGGUGAUCGGCCACAUUGGAACUGAGACACGGUCCAGACUCCUACGGGAGGCAGCAGUGGGGAAUAUUGCACAAUGGGCGAAAGCCUGAUGCAGCAACGCCGCGUGAGUGAUGAAGGCCUUCGGGUUGUAAAACUCUGUCUUUGGGGACGAUAAUGACGGUACCCAAGGAGGAAGCCACGGCUAACUACGUGCCAGCAGCCGCGGUAAUACGUAGGUGGCAAGCGUUGUCCGGAUUUACUGGGCGUAAAGAAUGCGUAGGCGGAUAUUUAAGUCAGAUGUGAAAUCCCCGAGCUUAACUUGGGGGCUGCAUUUGAAACUGGAUAUCUAGAGUGCGGGAGAGGAGAGUGGAAUUCCUAGUGUAGCGGUGAAAUGCGUAGAGAUUAGGAAGAACACCAGUGGCGAAGGCGACUCUCUGGACCGUAACUGACGCUGAGGCAUGAAAGCGUGGGGAGCAAACAGGAUUAGAUACCCUGGUAGUCCACGCCGUAAACGAUGGGUACUAGGUGUAGGAGGUAUCGACUCCUUCUGUGCCGCAGUUAACACAAUAAGUACCCCGCCUGGGGAGUACGGUCGCAAGAUUAAAACUCAAAGGAAUUGACGG
rnacentral:rRNA from 1 species